GUCAAUACCCGUGUUGUUUGACAAAUGCCCCAGAGGAAGCACUGGCUAACUACGUGCCAGCAGCCGCGGUAAUACGUAGAGUGCAAACGUUGUUCGGAAUUACUGGGCAUAAAGAGCUCGUAGGCGGCGUGACGGGUCGGUUGUGAAAGCCCCUGGCUCAACCAGGGAACUGCAGCCGAAACUGUCAUGCUUGAGUGUGGGAGGGGAGAGUGGAAC
rnacentral:rRNA from 1 species